rnacentral:rRNA from 1 species
AUGUUUUGUGGUCACAUUCCAGACGAGCUUACGGAGCUUGUUAAUCUUCAAUACUUGGACCUUGGCUACAACAAUAUUUCAGGGAGCAUACCGAGAUCUAUUAUUAAUUGUACAGGCAUGACACAAACAAGAGACAAUGAUGAUCUUCGGGAUGCAUUCACUUCUGGAGUAUAUUCUGCUGGCAAUGAACUAGUUGACUAUACUGAGAAUUUAACAGUACUCACAAAAGGUCAAGAGAGAUUAUAUACAGGAGAAAUCAUAUAUAUGGUGAAUCUUGAUUUAUCCUGUAAUAGUCUCAUGGGAGAGAUCCCUGAAGAAAUCAGCGCUCUUGUAGCAUUGAAGAGCCUGAACUUAUCAUGGAACAACUUCAAUGGAAAACUCCCUGAGAAUAUUGGCGCCUUAAUGCAGGUGGAGUCACUUGACCUAUCGCACAAUGAUUUGUCCGGUGAAAUCCCUUCAAGCUUAUCGACUCUCACAUCAUUGAGUCGCCUGAACCUGUCCUACAACAAUCUGAGGGGGGAAAUACCGACUGGAAAUCAAUUGCAAACACUCGAAGACCCGGCCUAUAUUUAUAUUGGCAACCCCGGCCUCUGCGGUCCACCUCUCUCUGUAAAUUGUUCGUCAAUUCCAGGAGAAAACCACGGAGAUGCAAGCAAUGACUUGGUUUCGUUUUUCCUCGCCAUGGGCUCUGGAUAUGUGAUGGGUCUCUGGGUGGUCUUCUGUACCUUGUUGUUCAAGAGGAGAUGGAGAGUUUCAUGGUACUCGCUCUGUGACAGCCUGUAUGAUUGGGUUUAUGUGCAACUGGCUGUUACCUGGACUUCCGUGAGAGCUAAAAUUAAUGGGUAG